AUUGAACGCUGGCGGCAUGCUUUACACAUGCAAGUCGAACGGCAGCGCGGGCUUCGGCCUGGCGGCGAGUGGCGAACGGGUGAGUAAUGCAUCGGAACGUGCCCAGUAGUGGGGGAUAGCCCGGCGAAAGCCGGAUUAAUACCGCAUACGACCUGAGGGUGAAAGCGGGGGACCGAAAGGCCUCGCGCUAUUGGAGCGGCCGAUGUCGGAUUAGCUAGUUGGUGGGGUAAAGGCUUACCAAGGCGACGAUCCGUAGCUGGUCUGAGGGGACGACCAGCCACACUGGGACUGAGACACGGCCCAGACUCCUACGGGAGGCAGCAGUGGGGAAUUUUGGACAAUGGGGGCAACCCUGGUCCAGCCAUGCCGCGUGCGGGAAGAAGGCCUUCGGGUUGUAAACCGCUUUUGUUCGGGAAGAAAUCCUCUGGGCUAAUACCCCGGGGGGAUGACGGUACCGGAAGAAUAAGCACCGGCUAACUACGUG
rnacentral:rRNA from 1 species